rnacentral:rRNA from 2 species
GCGGAGUGGCGGACGGGUGAGUAACACGUGGGGAACCUAUCCAUCAGCGGGGGAUAACACUUGGAAACAGGUGCUAAUACCGCAUACGGCUUUUUUUCACCUGAAAGAAAGCUCAAAGGCGCUUUACAGCGUCACUGAUGGCUGGCCCCGCGGUGCAUUAGCCAGUUGGUGAGGUAACGGCUCACCAAAGCAACGAUGCAUAGCCGACCUGAGAGGGUGAUCGGCCACACUGGGACUGAGACACGGCCCAGACUCCUACGGGAGGCAGCAGUAGGGAAUCUUCGGCAAUGGACGCAAGUCUGACCGAGCAACGCCGCGUGAGUGAAGAAGGUUUUCGGAUCGUAAAGCUCUGUUGUCAGCAAAGAACAGGAGAAAGAGGCAAUGCUUUUUCUAUGACGGUAGCUGACCAGAAAGCCACGGCUAACUACGUGCCAGCAGCCGCGGUAAUACGUAGGUGGCAAGCGUUGUCCGGAUUUAUUGGGCGUAAAGCGAGCGCAGGCGGUGAUUUAAGUCUGAUGUGAAAGCCCCCAGCUCAACUGGGGAGGGUCAUUGGAAACUGGAUCACUUGAGUG